rnacentral:tRNA from 1 species
CCUUCCUUGGUCAAAGAGUCAUGACGUCUGACUGUCAAGCACUGUAUUGCAGUACUCAGAAGGCUCCGGGUUCGAGUCCCGGAGGAGGGA